UUUAUUUCUCGAAUGUCCCAAUUACAAAUGACCCUUCGUAUUUAUCAAAAUGCAGAAAAUGAAAAUAUAAAAAUAUCUGUGUGUGUGUGCAUACAGGUGCUGUAAGUAUAUAAUAAAAGAAUGGCCAUAUUUACAAUAUCAAAAGUGGCUACUUAUGUAAAGCUACUUGUGUAAUGUCUGCUUGUCUUUCACAUUGGGCUGCUUGCCUUGGCCCAAUACUUCAACACC
rnacentral:lncRNA from 1 species